UAUAUCUCAAUAAAGUUUUUGUUUUGUUUUGUUUUUUUCGUUUUUAAUAAAAGAGACUAGACCAUUCUGUGAUUCCAAGGAGGAGGAGGAGGAGGAGGAGGAGAGCGUUACUUGCCAAACUUCAGACAUCUGCCUGCUGGCUGGCCAACCCCCACGGCAUCAUCUCUGAGAAGAUUGCAUGUCGCAGCUCCCAUCCUUGCCAAGUCAUGAAAGUCUGCGGAUACACUGAACAGACAUAUGGCUUCCAGAAAACCUUCUUGCCUUCUUUCCGUUGGCCACUGGAAAUUUCUGAUGUGGUGGAAUCUCCUUAAAAUGGAGACUUUUUUUUUUUUUAAAUCUCCAUUUUU
rnacentral:lncRNA from 1 species